UGAAGCUGUAGUUCUGGUGCCAGAAACCCUUUUGGUCACCUGAAAAUAUUAUUUCACCCCUGAUUAGUAAAUUUAAAGAUUAGAAGGGAAAGCUUUCUAUGCUCUAGCUGCAACAUAGAAGUUCUACACUCCCUUUUAUCUAACCAUCAAUUUUUUAAUGGAGGGUUAAGAUUGUCCCAAUCACAAUGCCACGUCUUUAAACUAUUUUAUUUUUAAUUUUUUUUUUCUAUAAAUUAUUUUGACACCAAUUUUGGACAUUCAUUCCUUUAUUAAACUCGUACUAACGAAAAAUAUAAAAAAAAAUAUUUUCAAUAAAAUAAAAUGACCAAAAUACUCCCGAAUAGUUCAAUGAGUCUGAAUGAGAAGAUGGCACGAACCAAAUUUUGGUCAUUAUUUUUUAUCGAAAAAUUAUUGUUAAUAUUUUUUAUAAGUGAGUCCAAAUGAGAAGAUGGCACGUAACAAAUUUCAUAUUCAAAAAAAUUGUGGUAAAAAAACUAAAAAAAAAAUACUUUGAGACGUCGGAUCUAAGAUCAAACGGUGAGUGGCUCUCUUGAUAAAAAUGGAUGAUUGGAUGGUAAGGGGAGGAUAGAACUUCUAUAUUGUAAGGGGAACAUAAAACGUUUUUCCAAAUUAAAAAAUGAUGCAAAUCAAGGAGAUCUAUAAAUUUAAAGGUACAGAUCUUUUCAAAAAUUGUUUCGAUGCUGAAACUAGAGCCGGGGCAGCCUUGGCCUUGGCCUUGUAGGUUGCCACACAAACAAAUGAAGGAAAAAAAAAAGAAAAAAAAAAGAAGAAGAAAAGCGACGAGCCUAACCUGACUGACAUUGGGUGUAGCCCAGCCCUCCAGCUAGUUCAAGCCCUACUUUUUUAGGGCUAGGCUGCUCGGCCAGGUCCUUAAUUCCCAAGGUUUAAAGGUCUAUAAAAAGAAAGAGGGGGAGAAGUGUUGGUCUUUGACCUACACCGUCCAGUAUUUUUUGUCAUUGAUGAUCUUGCGUUGAACGGUGAGGUUCAUCCUACCUAUGUUAAGGUACGGCUCCAGCCCCACAUAUAAGCAUCAAGGAGUUCAUUGCAUGGAAGAUGGAUAACUUGAGUCCAUAUAUUUGAGGAGGGCGUUCUUGUACCUUUUGGUGGUAAAAAUCCAAUACUUAACCCGUCUUUGCCUUUUGAGUCUUCUCCUUACUUCCUUUUUAUUUAUUUAUUUAUUUAUUUAUUUAUUUUAUUUUUUUAUUAUUUUGGAAUGGCUUGGAUCAAAGAAAGGUACCCGGUUUUUAUGAGUCCGAGACUGCAGUCACCGCACGCAUUAUUGCACUGGCCCUGAUAUUUAUUUGCGUAGUCUCUCUUUUGUGACGCAUGUGCGUCGAAUUGAUAUGCACUGUCCAGUAUGAUUUGGACAAUUAUCCGCCCCAACAUUCAAAACACUUUACCAAGAUCAAAACGUGAUGUUACGCAUAAGAUCAUCUUAAUAAGGAAAGAGCUUACAUAAGGUUACAACCUUAUAAUGUAGUGCUAUGGAUGCACCUCAAAAAUCCAUGGGAAAAAGUAGUUUUAAUAUUAAAAAACCUUUUAUCUCGACAUUGAGAUAUAAGACCAUGAAAAAUAAAGAGAUUUUAAGUCUCAAAAAUAGUGCAUUUUACAACAUAUUAUCUGUACCGUCCAUUUUCAAUAUUUCCAUACGUUUAUAAAUCUACAUGAUUUUAAUCAUUUUUUAAAUUUAAAAUUUAAUAAUUAGAUAUAAAAAUAGAUUUUGAGAUAAUCCUAAGAAUAUUUCACAUCAAAAUUAUAUACCAUGAUAAAAUUUGAAGGCGCGCAUUACCUCUACAACUACGAAUGCAUCCAUAUGCCAACUGCACCCUCUUAAUAAUGAUGAUAAUUUUCGGUAUAAGUUAAACACAGGAGGGUGAAAGAUAGACGAACUAAUCGCACUUCAGGUAGGACCCACUUCCUCCAUCACUGUCUGCCAACCAAUUCAUGCGACAGUAAUAACCUCAUGUUUCUAAUGACCAGGUGGAUCACAGUACAAGGACCCUUUACCAAAUUCUCUCUGGUUUUGUUAUUCGAAAAAUGGCUACAUGGGUUUUACUUUUCUAUGUGAAAAUUAAGGUUAUGUUUAGUGUGCAGUUAAAUUAACCCUUGCGGGAAAGGCGUUGGGGUCGUAGUCCUUGUUGGGGUUUUUAAUAAGUGUCUGUUUACUCAAAACAUAUUGAACCCUUGCAACUGCAUUUCAAACUCUAUUCAUUCAUGGAUUGAGGAUCCAAAAUCUUCCAAGCAGAUCGAUCAACUCUCAUCAAUAAACCAUUUGCAUACCGAUCUCCAUCAUAUAGAAAAAAAAGAUAAAAUUAAAGUCCUAAAAAUCUCAAAAUAUUUGAAAUCCAAACUUCAAGAAGCCCACAAACCAAAACGUGACUAAGGGAUGUAACACUCCAAAAUUCAAUAAUGAGAGGGAGGCAAGCCCCACAGAUUUUGGAACGCCUCUCAUUUUAUCUGAUGUUGCCAAUGUUCCGUUCUUAAGGGUUGUAAAAAAAUUGUUCAUGUAACAUAAUUCACCCAAAAAAAAAAGAGAGAGAUAAGCCAAUUAAAUACCACAGAAAGAACUUAAAAAUUGAAGAAUGAGGGAGAGGAGGGCCAAUUAAUAACAAACAAUUGCAUGGAAAUACUUAAAUUAAAAUUCACGGAAAAGAGAGAGGAGAAUCAAUUAAAUACCACACAAAUCGAAGAAAAGAAAGAGGAUAAUCAAUUAAAUACCACACAAAUGGAAUUAAAUACCACAUAAAUGGGUCCAAAUUGACAAGCAAUUCUUAUUUCUUGACGGGUACACGAUUCCUGUAAAUUAUAAUGCACCUACGCGUCAUUGAAAAGCAAAAAAAAAGAGGAACAUACAUUGACAUCAGAUCCCAAAUUAACACUGCAAACUGAAUUAUUCAUGGAAAAGAGAAAGGAGGAGUAGAUGAGGAGUGAAGUGAAGUACGCAUGUGUCAGUGGCAGCAGCGACGGCGCAUGACGGUGACUCUCCUUCUUGGGGGGGGUAGGCAGAGGAGGAGGAUUACCAUGGCCAACACCAGCGCCACCACGAUCCCAAACAAUCCUGAACCACCACCAUUAUCCGCUAUAUCUGUGCAACAAAUCUUCCCCAUCUCUCUCUCUCUCUCUCUAGUUUGUGGUUUUGGAGUGCUAGGACCCCUCUCUCUGUGUCUCUGUCUCUGUCUCUGUGGGUGGAAAGAACUAUAUGAAAAACUCGUACCAAAACUUUCCCAUCUUGCCAACUUUCACUGCUCAAAUGAGUUCAAUUGGUUUGGAAACCUGGUUUUCCACUUAAACCCUUCCCAUCAUGGUGACACACAUAUUUUGUCGCUCUCUAUAAUUUGAGACUUAUCAUUAUUUCUUGGGCGAGUGGCCUGUAUCGUUUCCCAUAAAAUGUGACCUUUUACGUACGAGUCUACCGUUCUUGCAUUUUGCUAUUUUUAAUGCUG
rnacentral:lncRNA from 1 species